rnacentral:rRNA from 1 species
CAAGCAGUGGGAGCCGACUUGUUCGGUGACUGCGUACCUUUUGUAUAAUGGGUCAGCGACUUACAUUCAGUAGCAAGGUUAACCGCAUAGGGGAGCCGUAGAGAAAUCGAGUCUUAAUAGGGCGUUUAGUUGCUGGGUGUAGACCCGAAACCGGGUGAUCUAUCCAUGAGCAGGUUGAAGGUUGGGUAACACUAACUGGAGGACCGAACCCACUGUCUUUGAAAAGCCAGGGGAUGACUUGUGGAUAGGGGUGAAAGGCUAAUCAAACCUGGAAAUAGCUGGUUCUCCCCGAAAACUAUUUAGGUAGUGCGUCAUGUAU